GACUAUAAAAGCUUUUUGUGUUCUGCAAAACCUGCACAUUUCACCUCCAGGCUGUGAGACUUGUUCUGUUACUCCUCGUGGAGCCAGGAUUUGCUGAAAAGAUGUCUUCCCAACAAACACAUUACCCAACUAACCAGCCAUCCUGCACAGGCAGCUCAACAACGGGCCCACCAAAGAAGACCUCUGACCAAGGCUCACCCAGUUGUGGGUCACCUCAAAGUCAACAGAAGAAGCAGCCUCCUCCACAGUGCCCACAAGCGCCUAAAUAACAUCUCCUGAGGAAAAGAAGAGAAGGGUAAUAGCCGAGCUGAAGUCUAAAUGAAGACCUCCCACUUCUCUUCUUUUGUUUUUGCCCUGGGUUACAUCGCUGAAAGUGCUCGCGUGCAAAUUCUAUGACUACCGCUUUCUCUUUGAUAAUGUGUUCCUUUGGUUUGUCAAAUGUUAAGUAACAAAAAAAAUAGACACACUUUAAGCUGUCAUUAUUUUUAGACAGGGCGUUGAGUUACUUACGAGUGCUCUCCAAGAAAAUAACACCUCAGGACAUUUCUUCAGAAAAUUAGUAACAUCAUAUCUCCGAAAUGUUUCUUUAA